rnacentral:rRNA from 1 species
GUAGGGAAUCUUCCACAAUGGACGAAAGUCUGAUGGAGCAACGCCGCGUGAGUGAAGAAGGGUUUCGGCUCGUAAAGCUCUGUUGGUAGUGAAGAAAGAUAGAGGUAGUAACUGGCCUUUAUUUGACGGUAAUUACUUAGAAAGUCACGGCUAACUACGUGCCAGCAGCCGCGGUAAUACGUAGGUGGCAAGCGUUGUCCGGAUUUAUUGGGCGUAAAGCGAGUGCAGGCGGUUCAAUAAGUCUGAUGUGAAAGCCUUCGGCUCAACCGGAGAAUUGCAUCAGAAACUGUUGAACUUGAGUGCAGAAGAGGAGAGUGGAACUCCAUGUGUAGCGGUGGAAUGCGUAGAUAUAUGGAAGAACACCAGUGGCGAAGGCGGCUCUCUGGUCUGCAACUGACGCUGAGGCUCGAAAGCAUGGGUAGCGAACAGGAUUAGAAACCCUGGUAGUCC